rnacentral:rRNA from 1 species
GACGAACGCUGGCGGCGUGCUUAACACAUGCAAGUCGAACGGCGAACUCGAGAGCUUGCUCUUGAGGGAUCAGUGGCGAACGGGUGAGUAACACGUGAGUAACCUGCCCCAGACUCUGGAAUAACACCUGGAAACAGGCGCUAAUACCGGAUACGACACGAACAGGCAUCUGUAUCGUGUGGAAAGUUUUUCGGUCUGGGAUGGACUCGCGGCCUAUCAGCUAGUUGGUGAGGUAAAGGCUCACCAAGGCGACGACGGGUAGCCGGCCUGAGAGGGCGGCCGGCCACACUGGGACUGAGACACGGCCCAGACUCCUACGGGAGGCAGCAGUGGGGAAUAUUGCACAAUGGGCGAAAGCCUGAUGCAGCGACGCCGCGUGAGGGAUGACGGCCUUCGGGUUGUAAACCUCUUUCAGUAGGGAAGAAGCGAAAGUGACGGUACCUACAGAAGAAGCACCGGCUAACUACGUGCCAGCCGCCGCCGUAACAC